rnacentral:rRNA from 1 species
CCUACGGGCGGCUGCAGUGAGGAAUAUUGGUCAAUGGGCGCGAGUCUGAACCAGCCAAGUCGCGUGAGGGAUGAAGGUUCUAUGGAUUGUAAACCUCUUUUAUAAGGGAAUAAAGUGUGGGACGUGUCCUCUUUUGUAUGUACCUUAUGAAUAAGGAUCGGCUAACUCCGUGCCAGCAGCCGCGGUAAUACGGAGGAUCCGAGCGUUAUCCGGAUUUAUUGGGUUUAAAGGGUGCGUAGGCGGCCUGUUAAGUCAGCGGUGAAAGUUUGGGGCUCAACCAGAGAAUUGCCGUUGAAACUGGGGGGCUUGAGUGUGUUUGAGGCAGGCGGAAUGCGUGGUGUAGCGGUGAAAUGCUUAGAGAUCACACAGAACCCCGAUUGCGAAGGCAGCCUGCCAAGCCAUGACUGACGCUGAUGCACGAAAGCGUGGGGAUCAAACAGGAUUAGAUACCCGAGUAGUC